rnacentral:tRNA from 1 species
UCCCUGGUGGCUCAGACGGUAAAGGAUCUGCCUGCAGUGCAGGAGACCCAGGUUCGUUCCCUGAGCAGGGGAG